GACGAACCGAGCGAACGUUGUUCGGAAUCACUGGGCUUAAAGGGCGCGUAGGCGGGUGCUCAAGUCUGUGGUGAAAUCCUCCGGCUCAACCGGAGAACUGCCAUGGAUACUGGGUGCCUCGAGGGUGGUAGGGGUAUGCGGAACUAUCGGUGGAGCGGUGAAAUGCGUUGAUAUCGAUAGGAACUCCGGUGGCGAAGGCGGCAUACUGGACCACAUCUGACGCUGAGGCGCGAAAGCCAGGGGAGCAAACGGG
rnacentral:rRNA from 1 species